GAUGAACGCUGGCGGCGUGCUUAACACAUGCCAGUCGAACGGAAAGGCCCAAGCUUUCUUGGGUACUCGAGUGGCGAACGGGUGAGUAACACGUGGGGGAUCUGCCCUUCACUUCGGGAUAAGCCUGGGAAACUGGGUCUAAUACCGGAUAGGACGAUGGUUUGGAUGCCAUUGUGUAAAGUUUUUUCGGUGUGGGAUGAGCUCGCGGCCUAUCAGCUUGUUGGUGGGGUAAUGGCCUACCAAGGCGUCGACGGGUAGCCGGCCUGAGAGGGUGUACGGCCACAUUGGGACGGAGAUACGGCCCAGACUCCUACGGGAGGCAGCAGUGGGGAAUAUUGCACAAUGGGCGCAAGCCUGAUGCAGCGACGCCGCGUGGGGGAUGACGGCCUUCGGGUUGUAAACUCCUUUCGCUAGGGACGAAGCGUUUUUGUGACGGUACCUGGAGAAGAAGCACCGGCUAACUACGUG
rnacentral:rRNA from 1 species